rnacentral:rRNA from 1 species
GACGAACGCUGGCGGCGUGCCUAAUACAUGCAAGUCGAGCGGAGUGAUGAAGAAGCUUGCUUCUUCUGAUUUUAGCGGCGGACGGGUGAGUAACACGUGGGCAACCUACCUUGUAGAUUGGGAUAACUCCGGGAAACCGGGGCUAAUACCGAAUAAUCCAUUUUGCUUCAUGGCGAGAUGUUAAAAGGCGGCUUCGGCUGUCACUACGAGAUGGGCCCGCGGCGCAUUAGCUAGUUGGUAGGGUAAUGGCCUACCAAGGCGACGAUGCGUAGCCGACCUGAGAGGGUGAUCGGCCACACUGGGACUGAGACACGGCCCAGACUCCUACGGGAGGCAGCAGUAGGGAAUCUUCCACAAUGGACGAAAGUCUGAUGGAGCAACGCCGCGUGAGUGAAGAAGGUUUUCGGAUCGUAAAACUCUGUUGUAAGGGAAGAACACGUACGAGAGUAACUGCUCGUACCUUGACGGUACCUUAUUAGAAAGCCACGGCUAACUACGUG